AAUGAACGCUGGCGGCAUGCCUAACACAUGCAAGUCGAACGAAGGCUUCGGCCUUAGUGGCGCACGGGUGCGUAACGCGUGGGAAUCUGCCCUUGGGUUCGGAAUAACAGUUAGAAAUGACUGCUAAUACCGGAUGAUGUCGUAAGACCAAAGAUUUAUCGCCCAAGGAUGAGCCCGCGUAGGAUUAGCUAGUUGGUGGGGUAAAGGCCUACCAAGGCGACGAUCCUUAGCUGGUCUGAGAGGAUGAUCAGCCACACUGGGACUGAGACACGGCCCAGACUCCUACGGGAGGCAGAAGUGGGGAAUAUUGGACAAUGGGCGAAAGCCUGAUCCAGCAAUGCCGCGUGAGUGAUGAAGGCCUUAGGGUUGUAAAGCUCUUUUACCCGGGAUGAUAAUGACAGUACCGGGAGAAUAAGCUCCGGCUAACUUCGUG
rnacentral:rRNA from 1 species